AGAGUUUGAUCAUGGCUCAGGAUGAACGCUAGCUACAGGCUUAACACAUGCAAGUCGAGGGGAAACGACAUCGAAAGCUUGCUUUUGAUGGGCGUCGACCGGCGCACGGGUGAGUAACGCGUAUCCAACCUGCCCACCACUUGGGGAUAACCUUGCGAAAGUAAGACUAAUACCCAAUGAUAUCNCUUUUUAGAAGACAUCUGAAAGAGAUUAAAGAUUUAUCGGUGAUGGAUGGGGAUGCGUCUGAUUAGCUUGUUGGCGGGGUAACGGCCCACCAAGGCAACGAUCAGUAGGGGUUCUGAGAGGAAGGUCCCCCACAUUGGAACUGAGACACGGUCCAAACUCCUACGGGAGGCAGCA
rnacentral:rRNA from 1 species